AAUAAGAAUACCCGGCAUCUUUUAAAUCUAUCAUGGCAGUGAUGGAAAUUAUAUUUUUUUUGUAUGCGAAAAAUCGGAAACCAAAAAUAUAAUAAAUAUAGUAUAAAAGCAGUGGUGAUAUAAAAAAAUUUAGGAAAAAAGUGAUAUAUAUAUAUUAUUGAGUAUAAUUAUCAUCUCUAAACCAAGUCGGUCAAAAAGAUAGUGUGAGUUCUGAGUGGAUCGAUGAUAACCUAUCAAGAUUUUAUCCUACCAAAGAAGAUUUAUAAAAAUUUUGCAAGAAAGAAGAAAGAUGGAACGCUCUAUGGAAAUAAAGAAGUCUGUUCAAGAGUCAUUAAUCUUAUUCGUAGAUAUUGCCAAGAAGAGCAUAUAGCGUUAGACGGAAAAUACUACUUUGUAACACGGAAAUUAAUAACUGCACUGUGUAUGAAACGAAAAAUACGACCAAAAAUAAACUGCAAGUUGGCAAUGCUUUAAAGAAAAAUAUCCUGCAAACAAAAUAAAAUUCCUAAUAUGCAAUAUAAACUGGAUUCCAACAUUCUCUGAUAUUAGAUUCUGGAUAUUAGAAAAUUUUCUCGGUGAAUUACAGAGGAAAGGGACAUUUUUAAUGCUGACAAACUGAGAUGCCAAAGGAAAUACUGAGACACGAAUAGAAGUAAUAAGAAAAAAAUCUGUGAAGUCUGUGACAACAUCAAUCUUCUAUAAAAAUGGAAUUUUUAAUAUUUACCAAGAGAAUCAUCACAAUUAUAAAUUGUGACUAAAAUAGUACUAUAAAUAGAUCAUAGAUUAAAUUUUAAGAAAUACAUGGUUAUAAUUUAAAAAAUUGUUUAAAAAACAAGGUGAAACAUACACUUUGUUGAGAAUACUUGUUAAAGAUAUCGUUCGUAGAUGAUCUUAAAAUAUAAUAGAAAAAAAAAUUAACAAAAUCGGAACAUAAUUUAAACUAAUUAGAAUAUAAUAUAUUUGUGAUUGAAAUUUUAGCUAUUUAUUACUUAUCAAUUUUUAAUUGCAUAUUAUUUGCAAUGAAAUACAUAAGAUAUAACGUAAAAUAUAACAUAAAAAAAUCAUAGCAACAAUAGUAGAAAGAAAAUCUGAAAUAUGUAGAUAUGAUGACGAACAUAAAUAAAAAAGAAGAUAUAGUACCAAAAGGCUCCACCCAAGAGAAAUUAGAAUAAUUAAUCUAGAAUAAUUGUUGAAACUAUUAUGUACAGCCAUACGCUCGAUAGUAAUCAUAUUAGAUUCCUUGUAUUACAAGUAAUACCGACCACGUGGAAAUUACUGCAUUUGAAGAUCCAUUUAUGGACUUCUAUACAAAAAUCUAUUUCUUAUAACUGUAAAUUUCAUUAUCGUUUCUGUAAAUUUAAUUUUCAUAUAUCCUUAACUUAAUAAAUUCUCUAACUUGUAUUAGAUUACUUCUAUCGAACAUGAAAAAUGUGAAAGUAAAGAAUACAAUUAUAUUGAAAUGUGCUUAUUCAUUUUAAGAAGUUCUAUAAUGGUUCUUCGAUGCAGUCGAUGCAAAUUCAUUUGUUGUUUAAAUCGCGAAACGCAAACGAACAAAUACUGUUCCUACUUUGCGACUUUUUGUUUUCAUUUUAGCGAUACAAACAUUCGAGUGAUCGUUGAUAUUAGUCGUUUAAUAACAUUGUUAUAAUAACAUCGUUUUUGUUGAUAUUAGAUGAAAACAAUGAUUUCGUCUUCAAAAUUUAAUGAUCUCCAAAUGUUAAAAAAAAUUAUUUUAUAUUUAACGCCUGCUUCGAAUAAAAUAUUAAUUUAUUAUAGUUCGCAAAGUAUUAAUUUUUAGGUUUUCACGUUUAGAAAGAAAAAAUUUCGAUAUUUGUUCGUCGUUAUGCAAAAGGAAACUAUUUGCUAUGUUUUAUCCUUUUCAUGAUAAACGUUUUAAAAUAAGAAUAAUUAUUCUUAUACUCAAAAAUGAGAUAUGCAGCAAACUUUAAGAAUGUUCGGCAAAACGCUUUAUAGUAACGAGUACUUCGCUUGAAUGAAACUGUAGCGAACAUUGACCUCUGAUCAGGGUCGAGAAUGCACUCGCCUCUUGUUUUGUUUACCUAUUUUCUUACUAAGUUCCCGAUACAAUACAAUAUAGAAAUACAAUACAACUUUAUUUCAUUAUGAAUAUUAUAUAUAUAUAUAUAUAUAUAUAUAUAUAUAUAUACAUA